rnacentral:misc_RNA from 1 species
UGGGCCUUUUUCUACGGCGCAGUAAACAAGCCCUUCAUAUAAAACUGGUUUGCAAGGUACGUUUUAUUUAGUGCAUUUACAAAAGCCUGUAAGCUGGUCAAAGGAAAAAGACGACUCACAAUGUGGCCGCAUCUGGUGGCUGUUAUCAUCAUCCUGGUGUCAGUAUGGUUGUGGCAGAGGAUAGACAGUUACCGUGUGUUCAAGAAGAUGGGAAUCAACGGUCCUCCGCCAAACCUCAUAUUUGGAAAUUUCAGACAGAUAAUGUCUCAACCAGUUUGGAUGGCAUACAGAAAGUGGGAACAGCUCUAUGGAAAAACGUUUGGGGUCUUCUUUCUCAAUUCUCCCAGUAUAGUGACCUCGGAUGUCGAUUUUCUGCAAGAAGUCUUUGUCAAACAGUUCAGUAAAUUUCACCAAAGAGCAAUUCCUAAUUCAAUAGACACGGAGGAUGAAGAAACACACAUGGUUUUUGCGAAAGGAAAACGAUGGAAGCGAUUACGUUUAAUAUCCAACCCGACCUUCUCCUCUCUUAAAAUGAAACAAAUGGCGCCACUGAUCCAGGAGUCGGUGAACAGUUUCAUAGAGUCGAUGGAGAAGCGUUGCCAGGAAGAAAAACCGUUCGAUAUCCACAGUGAUUUCCAAGGCCUCACCCUGGAAGUCAUCGGCUCGUGUGGCUUUGGUCUCGAGAUUAACUCAGUGCGAGAUAACAUGUCACCAUUUCUGGCAGCAUGUCGUAAAGCGUUCAGUGCGUCACUGAUGAUGAUGACGCCAAUGUUAAUUUCCGAACUUUUUCCAUCAUUGACCGGUCUAGCCAAGGUGUUGAACAAAUAUCUGACGAGAAAGAGGGUGCAUGACAUUGACGUUCUGGUCAGCGCUGCCGUACAGUCCAGAUUAAAUGAUCCAAAGUCUCGACGGGUGGAUCUCCUGCAGCUAAUGUUGGACGCCAAAACUGACAAUCUGGACUCGACUGUACCCCAGGCGAUGACGGACAGUGACGUAGUAUCAACACAACAGGGAGGGGAAACGGGUCAGCAGAACGACUCUUCGUCAUCUCCAAGAAAAUUUACACAAAAGGCCAAACUCACAGAAAAGGAGGUCCAAACACAGUGUUCGACGUUUUUGUUGGCAGGGUAUGAAACCACCAGCACCGCCCUGGCCUACGCUGCCUACCACCUAGCAACGAGUCCAGAGGCACAGAAAGCUCUUCAGGAGGAGGUAGACCAAUACUGCACUGAAGAGGGUCCUCCAUCGUAUGAGACCAUAAGUAAGAUGCAGUAUUUGGACAUGUUCCUCAAGGAAUCGCUACGACUACACCCUAUCGCUCCAUUUGGGCCAGGGAGAACAGCCCAAGAAUCCAGCACAGUGAUGGGUGUUCACAUUCCCAAAGGCAUGAAAGUCCGCUGUGACGUUUACAGUAUCCACAUGGAUCCCGAGCACUGGGGACCCCCAGACCCCAGCCUCUUCUGUCCUGAACGGUUCACGACAGAGAGGAUUGCUAAGCGUCACCCUAUGGCCUGGCUCCCAUUUGGGGCAGGCCCCAGAAACUGCAUUGGUAUGAGGUUCGCCCUGAUGGAGGCCAAGAUGACCUUGGCGUGUCUCGUGAAGAAGUUCAGCGUUGAGACCUGUGCUGAGACGCAGAUUCCGUUGGUUCACGUGGCCAGUAGCACAGUGCAGCCGGAGAAAGGUGUCACUGUGCGUCUUACAAGGCGGCAUGUGGUGGCCAAUAAUAGUGAAGAAUAGACAUUAACUGAACGUAUUCACAAAGCUCCAUAGCACGUGUCAUAAUUGUCAAUGUUUCAUGACUACUCUGUCAGCAAGACUUAGCUUACAUACUUUUUCAAUUUAAUCAAUAUACUUUUUACAGAGAUAUUAUUUCACAAUGCGUUUUAAAACAAUGUGCAGCGUAACUCCAGCUAUUCAAUAUGAGAUGUCUGUAAACAUACCAAUGCACAGUGAUGAAUAUAACAAAUAUGUUUUCAUUGUUCAUAUAAAAGUUUAUUUGUUUUAUUUUAUGUAUUAAUUGUUUAGAGAAAAUUAUUGUAUGUUUUGUAUUGUAUAUAGAUAAUUGUUGUACAUGUAUUUUAUAGAGAGAAUAAUCUGGUUCUAACCGUCUCAGACAUUUAUAUACUGUCAUGGACAUCAAGGGGUUUGAAAGAUAUAUCGCAACUCGGUACAAGCGGUCAUCACACGACCUGUUAGUGAAGAAGGACUGCCUGUUCUACGACCUUUUUAGAGGAUCUUAAAUGUAUCUGUGGUACCGGUGAAAUCCAAACAUGUUUGUGCCUUUAUUGUAUGACAAUCUGUAUACGUAAGGAUUACCCUGCGUUAGAUUUUAGAGAGGCGGACCUAUACGCACGAUGUGUAUCAUUGUAAAUAUGCUGUAAACUGUUUAUUUUCCUGAUGCUAACAUUGUGUUACCGUUUUAUUAGUAUGUGUUAAGACCAUAACGACUUCAUCAACUUGGGUGUAAUCAUGAAUUUGUUUUUUUGUUAUGCUGGUUAUAUAUUAACCUUCAAUAUCAAUAAUCUUAUUUAACUAAUAUUGUUGGUUGAUUCUGAGAUUUUGGGGAUUUGAGUCACCUUUGAAUUUACGUAAUUACCAAUCAAAUAUUGAGAACGAUAGCGUCUUGCCUAUAUGAAAAGGUGACGGGAAAAUCUGUAUAAACAGUACAUUGUGAACUGAGGUCAAUCAUCACACCAUCACCAAAUAAGGAAAUAUUAAUAGAUUGAGGAUUUGCCUAGAAUGGGACAUUGGCGAAAAUAAAAAGAAUCUGUAUAAUACGUCAUACGAAUGAAAUGUGACAUGAGGGGAAAAAGGUCGAGUUUAAUGAUUGUAAG